CUCAAAGGAAAGAAAACUACCCUGAAACAAAUCCUGGACCAAAGCCUUUAUUUUCCCCUGGUUAUACACAACAAUCACAUUCACCAACUUCAAACCCGACACCUCAGAGGCCUGAGGCAGCACAUGGCACAAAGCCGCUGUUUUCCUCUGUUCAUACACAACAACCAUACUCACCAACUUCAAACUCGAUACCUCAAAGGAAAGAAAACUACCCUGAAACAACUCAUGGACCAAGGCCUCUGUUUUCCCCUGGUUAUACACAACAAUCACAUUCACCAACACCUCAGAGGAAAGAAAGCCAUCCUGAGGCAGCACACGGCACAAAGCCUCUGUUUACCCCUAUUCAUACACAGAAACCAUAUUCACCAACUUCAAACCCGAUACCUCAAAGGAAAGAGAACUACCCUGAAACAACUCAUGGACCAAGGCCUCUGUUUACCCCUAUUCAUACACAGAAACCAUAUUCACCAACUUCAAACCCGAUACCUCAAAGGAAAGAAAGCUACUCUGAAACAGCACACGGCACAAAGCCUCUGUUUACCCCUGUUCAUACACAGCAACCAUAUUCACCAACUUCAAACCCGAUACCUCAAAGGAAAGAAAGCUACCCUGAAACAGCACACGGUGCAAAGCCUUUGUUUUCCUCUGGUUAUACACCACAAUCACAUCCACCAACUUCAAACCCAACACCUCAAAGGAAAGAAAGCUACCCAGAAACAACACACGAUACAAACCCUAUGUUUUCCCCUGUUUCUACACAACAAUCAACUGCAAAUCCGACCUCUCAAAACAACGAAAGUCAGCCAAAGAAGAAAAAAGGUUGGACAUCUCUGUUUUCCUC
rnacentral:lncRNA from 1 species